GGAUCCAGACUUUGAUCAUGGCUCAGGAUAAACGCUGGCGGCGCACAUAAGACAUGCAAGUCGAACGAACUUAACCAUUAGUUUACUAUUGGAGCGGUUAGUGGCGGACUGGUGAGUAACACGUAAGCAACCUGCCUAUCAGAGGGGAACAACAGUUAGAAAUGACUGCUAAUACCGCAUAUGCCUUGAGUAUCACAUGGUACAAAAGGGAAAGGAGCAAUCCGCUGAUAGAUGGGCUUGCGUCUGAUUAGAUAGUUGGUGAGGUAACGGCCCACCAAGUCGACGAUCAGUAGCCGGACUGAGAGGUUGAACGGCCACAUUGGGACUGAGAUACGGCCCAGACUCCUACGGGAGGCAGCAGUCGGGAAUAUUGCGCAAUGGAGGAAACUCUGACGCAGUGACGCCGCGUGCAGGAAGAAGGUUUUCGGAUUGUAAACUGCUUUAGACAGGGAAGAAACAAGACAGUACCUGUAGAAUAAGCUCCGGCUAACUACGUGCCAGCAGCCGCGGUAAUACGUAGGGAGCAAGCGUUAUCCGGAUUUAUUGGGUGUAAAGGGUGCGUAGACGGGAAAUUAAGUUAGUUGUGAAAUCCCUCGGCUUAACUGAGGAACUGCAACUAAAACCGAUUUUCUUGAGUGCUGGAGAGGAAAGUGGAAUUCCUAGUGUAGCGGUGAAAUGCGUAGAUAUUAGGAGGAACACCAGUGGCGAAGGCGACUUUCUGGACAGUAACUGACGUUGAGGCACGAAAGUGUGGGGAGCAAACAGGAUUAGAUACCCUGGUAGUCCACACCGUAAACGAUGGAUACUAGGUGUAGGGUGUGAUAAACAUUCUGUGCCGUCGCA
rnacentral:rRNA from 1 species